rnacentral:rRNA from 1 species
CUACGUGCCAGCAGCCGCGGUAAUACGUAGGUGGCAAGCGUUGUCCGGAUUUAUUGGGCGUAAAGCGAGUGCAGGCGGUUCAAUAAGUCUGAUGUGAAAGCCUUCGGCUCAACCGGAGAAUUGCAUCAGAAACUGUUGAACUUGAGUGCAGAAGAGGAGAGUGGAACUCCAUGUGUAGCGGCGGAAUGCGUAGAUAUAUGGAAGAACACCAGUGGCGAAGGCGGCUCUCUGGUCUGCAACUGACGCUGAGGCUCGAAAGCAUGGGUAGCG